rnacentral:sRNA from 1 species
ACACCGGCGUGGUACUAGUCACCCAGCCGCACCCCUCGGAAAGCGCGGAAUCGGUGACAGCCACUUCACAGGCUCACGCGCUCCCACUGUGGGCUUGAGGGGGACGGGGACCGAUUACCAAAGGAGAGCGCUUACUACGGAAGACACAGGGCAGCCUUUGUCUUGGGUUUAGCGCUGAUACGCUCAACCCUGAGUCGGGUUCACUGCAACUGUUGGGUCCGAUUUCGGUUCCCUGCAACCGCCCUCCUGCGCGACAGAUGUCAUUGUGUUCCUGCGGCCAGCGGGUCUGAAAGCUGGGACUUAAGACGCCAGGAGGGUCUUGCGCUCACGGACGCUUUUACAAAAUCUGAGUCAUAAAUUACAGAUAUUCUUGAUGAAAAUUCAGAACAUAGGGUUUAUUUUCAAAAAGAAAUGUACCCAAAAGAACUCUGAGAGAAUAUACUCACUGUCCUGCUGUGAUUAAACAAGACUGCUGUAUUUUAUGGGGUUUCAGCAUGUUGCCCAGGCUGGCCUCAAACUCCUGGACUCAAGCGAUCCACCUACCUCGGUUUCCCAAAGUGCUGGGAUUACAAGCAUGAG